rnacentral:rRNA from 1 species
UUAAAGGGGUUAUUAAGGAAAACUAAGGCAAAUUUAUAAAUAUAAGGAGGGUACAACCCAAAAGCUUAAAGAAUCAAGCUUGAAUACGGUUUAAAUACAUUUAAGCGAUCCUAAGGUAAACCUUAUUAAUUAAUUACUUCCUGAAGUAAAACAUUUCAGUAGGGAAAGGAAAGGAAAUCAACCGAGACUCCGAAAGUAAUGGUGAGUGAAAUCGGACUAGCCUAAAAAUAUAUAAUAUAAAUUGAAAAAAUAAUAGCUUUGCUACUAUAAAGACAAAAAUAAUAGCUUUUUGGCUAUUAUUCGUAGUAGAAACUAAUACUGGUUAAAAGUAGUUUUGCUACUAUAAAAACAAGAGUAAUAGCUUUUUUGGUUAUUAUUCGUAUUAGUAUUCUAAAACUAUUUAUAAGGAGCUUUGCUAGUUUAUUUAAAGCGUUGUUUCGCUACAAAAAAAGGUCAAUUAAGUCCUGUAGGUUUAUAUUAUAUAAUAAUAAAUAGCCGCUUUGCGGUCUGGUCACUGGAUCAGUUUGAACUUCUAGUCAAAAUUUGUGUUUAAUUUAAAUACUAGAAGCGUACUAACGAAAAAGCGUUAGAUUACUAUUUCAGUAGUAUUUGUUACGGUACUAAGGGUAUAAAAUUUAUUUUUAUUAAUUAGUAUUUUAUUAGUAGUCUUUGCCUUAUCUAGUAGUUUUAGUUCAUUGACGAAGGCUAGUAAGUUAAGUUAGACGCAUUUAUGCGGCUAUAAUUUAGCUUUAGCUACAAGUACUAAAUAAGCUAGAAUGGUAAUAAGAUUACACUAGUGAGUACGAUGAGAGAUAACUUGUCGGAACAAAGGGGAACCAUCCUCUAAGGCUAAGUAUUAUAAAUUUAGCGAUAGUGAAAAAGUACUGUGAAGGAAAAGUUUGAAAAGCAAGUAGUAUACUUAAAAUAAGUUUAUAGUUAUUAGUAUUAGCUAGCUAGCCUAAUUGGUCAGCGUAUUUAGCUAACUAAUAAUCAAACCUUAUUGGUGAAAUAGAUCUUGAAUUAGUAACUCUAUAAGCAGUCGGAAUUCUUACAAAUUAGUUUUUGUUUUUAGAAUGACGGCGUACCUUUUGCAUAAUGGGUCAGCAACUUAAUAGUAGUAGCAAGGUUAAAAGCCCUAGCGAAAGCGACUGGAUAGCAAAUCAAUUGUCAUAUAACAGGCAUUGAAAUCUAUGAUGGAUAAGUUACUACUAUUAGACUCGAAGCCAGGUGAUCUUACUUAGGCCAGAUUAUAAUGGAUCGAACGGGUGAAUGUUGCAUAAUUCUCCGAAGAGUCUAAGUAAGCGGUGAAAUGCCAAUCUGACCUGGUGCUAGCUGGUUUUCUACGAAACAUAUUUAAGUAUGAAGUCUACCGACCUUAUGAAAAUUAAGGAAGUCUAUCUUAUUUUAAUUGAGAAGACUUAUAGAUUUAUGGAGGUACAGCAAGGCAAUUCCCAACAAGUAUUUUUUUAUAGCUUUACAGUUAUUAAAAUUUAGGCGUUUAGGAUGCGGGGACCUAGAAAAUCUUACCUUUGGAAGCGAAUCUCGGAAUUACAUAAAUUGAUGGUAGAUAUUCAGACUACUCAAGCUAAGUUGGGUAGUCAAGACGGAAACAGCCGAUAACACUGAUCAAGGUCCCAAAUGAUUGUUAAGUGAAAAUAAGGAUGUAUGAUUAUCGUAUACAGCUGAGAAGUGAGCCUGGCAGUCGCUACUUAUAAUGAACGUUUGUAACAACGCAUCAGCAGUCUUUAAUUUACAAGUAUUAGUGUAGUAAUAGCCCUAACUUCGUUAAGGCGUACAACUAAACUAAUAUAGAUACUAGCGCCGAAAAUUUAACGGGUCUUAAACAAUCAACCGAUAUCGUGUUGGUUAAUUUUAGUAUUUUUAUAUUUUAAUUAAAUUUAACCAUUCUCAACCUCCUGUUAGAUUUAAUCUUUGGUUUUUCUUUUUUUGGUUGUUUUUUAAUAAAAUUAAUCAACCGAUAUAUAUGUAUCCUCUCAUUCUUAUCACAUUAUAUCGUGUUGGUUAAUUUUAGUUUAGUAAUUAUAAUAAUAAAAUUAAUCUAGGUAGUAGAACAUUCAGUCAUACUAAUGAUAAUACAGUGUUUCAUUGUAUUUGAGGUUACUGAAGAGAUAAUGCUGACAUGAGUAACGUAAAAAGAAGUUAUAAUACUUCUCGCCGAAUACGAAAGGGUUUCAAAGAAAGGUUAAUCCACUUUGAUUUAAUGCGGCCUCUAAGGGUAAUAGCUAAAGCUAUGACUGAUGAGUCUAAAAUAGAAAGUCUAUGUUAAAUCUUAAGUAGACCAGGAAAUUAAUAUUUUUAACUCUGCUUGCCUUAUUUUUAUCCUACGUUACAGAAAAGGAAACGUACUAGAAUUAAGUAUAUCAACUUUACAAAAAAAAAACAAGUAGAAGCCUUCGGUUAGCUACUUCUAUUUCACUAAAGUAUGGUAAAGUGAGCAGGGCUAAACCGAUACCGUACCCUAAACCGACACAGGUUCGUAGGUAGAGAAUACUAAGGCGUAGAGCUAAAAGUUGUUAAGGAACUCGGCAAGUUAACCUCAUAAGCUAGAUGAUAAGAGGUACCGCUUAAUUGAGCGGUGACACAUAAUCGGAGGCCCCGACUGUUUACUAAAAACACAUCACAGUGCAAUCAUUAAUAUGAUAGUAUACUGUGUGAAAUUUGCCCGAUGCCAUUAAUAUAAGAACGGUCAUUUGUAGCUAACACUACAACUAAAAGUGACUUAUCGAAAGUCUGGUUAAUAGCGGUCUUAACUAUGAGGAUUUAAAUGAGGUCCGGUAUCAAUAAUGUAACGAUGGUCUCACUGUCUCUACAACUUGCUCAGUGAAAUUGAAUUACGCGUGCAGAUGCGCGUUACCUCCAGGGGGACGGGAAACUUAAAUUCUCUGGAAAAAUAAAAUGCGACUAGAUAAGUCUAUUAUAACAAUGCGGUUAAACCCCGCCUAAUAAUCCAUUAUUUGAGCUAAAACAGUAUAGGAUAGAAGUAAUUUUAUACUAUAAAGCCUGUGGUGUAUUAACUAUUUAAUAUGGGAAAAUGAUUAUAAAUUUAAAUAUUUAAUAUACUUAGCUAGAAAUCCUUGGACAAUAUAAUGUGAAUCCAUGUUUGAAGCAGCUUUACUGUAAUUAGUUAUCAUAUGAAUCUAGAACAAUCUUAAUUAAGAGAGAAUAGGGAAGUCUAGUUAAGACAAAUAUUGGGAACCUUACAAUUAAUUUUGGGUUUGUGUUUACCUUUUUAAAUAAAGGGAUAGUUGACUAAUUGGCAGUUUGACUGGGGCGGUCGUCUUUAAUAGAGUAGCAAAGUACAACCAAAGAUAUCUACAAAUUAUAUUUUACUAAGUAAAACUAACAAAUAAAUUAGCGUAAUCUAAAAUUACUUAAAAACUAAAUUUAGAGAAGCUACAAAAAUAAUUACACAAAAUUAUAAAGGUAUAGCUAGAAAUUGAAUGGAGAUCAAUCAACCAGUGAAGGGUUGCGCAGAGUUCAAUGGCGGUAAGCAUGCUUAACUGAAAGACUCAAAAGUCGCACAGAUACGUAAGUAGGGCAUAGUGACCCCUCGCUAUAGAAUGGGAUAGACGAGGAUCAAUUGAUAAAAGUUACGCUAGGGAUAACAGGCUGAUAGCGGACGAGAGUACACAUUGUCUCCGCUGAUUGGCACCUCGAUGUCGACUCAUCCUAUCCUCCGGGGGAAGAAGCUUGGAAGGGUUCGGCUGUUCGCCGAUUAAAAGGGUACGUGAGUUGGGUUUAAUACGACGUGAGUCAGUAUGGUCCCUAUCUUCUGGAGGGACAAUUAGUAAAAGGGGGCAGACCUUCUAGUACGAAAGGACCAAUAGGCUGUGUUUCUCUAGUGUACCAAUUGUUUUAAUUAUUAUAGCAUAGCUAUUAGCUUUAUCUAAAUAAUGAACGCAUAGUUGGGUAGCCACAAACAUAAUAGAUAAGUGCUGAAUGUAUAUCAAGCAAGAAUCUAACCCCUAGAUACUAAAUGGUUUAUUUAUAAACCUUAAUUGAGAAAUAGAAGAUUUCUAGAUAGGCUGCAAAUGAAAGUACUGUAAAGUAUUUAGUUUAGUAGUACUAAUUUAUAAAAAAACUGAAUAAUGAGGAUUAACAAAAUUAAAAUUUAAGAAAAUUUAAACUAGAUAAAAAAAGCUACUAGUUGCUAACUACUAUUCUAGUUGCUGCGUUAAUACUUACGCAUAG